ensembl:lncRNA novel transcript
GCGACCCGACUGGUUCUGUCCGAGCCCGACGGGCCGCGCUGACCCAGCGACUGUGCCUGACUGACCACAGGAAAGCCCUGGGUGAGGAUGCCACUGAGCCCGCCUGGAGCCAGGAGCUGGUCUGCAGAAACUGCUGGGCCUGUUUCUACUCUGAUGUUUACUUGGCCUGGAGGCCCAGUGUGAUGAAACCCGGCCCUGUUGCCGAGCACCUUGGGAAGCCUCCCUCCAGGGUCCCUCUGUGCUCAGACAGUGGCCCUUUGUAGAGUGGAGGAGCAGACUGAAAGCGGAGCUGCUGGAAACCGUUUCCUCCCCUCUGCCUCGAGCAACCUCCUCCCGCAGCCACAGACCAUCCUGUGCCUGGGUGGCCUCUGCUUUAAGUCUGCAGCUGGCGGGGGAGGAGACUGUGCACAAUCAUGGAGGGCAGUGGCAAGUCUGGUGGAGAGGGAAGGAGGUCAGGAAAUAAACGAGAGAGGAAAAUUAAGAGAGUGGGUAUCAGGCAGAUUUCUGGGUGAGGCCCAGAGGAGCAUUUUUAUUCAUCCAUCCAUUCAACAAGGGACUAUGUCUUAUCCAACUUGUAUCCCUAGAGUAUAACACAACAUCUGCAUAUAAGACAGAAAGUCAGUGGAUUCAAAACGAUGAAAGUGGAUUCAAAACCUCUGUCAAGGGGUGCUGUCCUUUCCUGGCCAAGUCUCUUUUAUUCUCUUAGGGCUGCAACCUCUUCACCUGGGAAAUGAAUGGUCCUGUGAUUUACAAGAGCAGGGUCCAGGCUGAAGGUGCAGGCCCUAUCCAAGACACAACAUUUCCAGUGGCAGAGAUAAAAAAGUAAGAUUUCAGACUCAAA